rnacentral:tRNA from 1 species
GCCGGGGUAGCUCAGUGGUAGAGCGAGGGACUCAUAAGCCCUAGGUCGCGGGUUCGAUCCCCGCCCCCGGUA